GUAGUCUCGCACAGAUGCAUAUCAAUAAGCGGAGGAAAAGAAACUAACAAGGAUUCCCCUAGUAACGGCGAGUGAAGCGGGAAGAGCUCAAAUUUGAAAUCUUAAAGGGUUUCCCUUUACGAAUUGUAGUUUAAAGAAGUGUUUUCUGUUGAGGUUUUGGUAAAAGUUCUUUGGAAUAGGACAUCAUAGAGGGUGAGAAUCCCGUAUUUGACCUUUACUUUCAACUUUGUGAUACACUUUCAAAGAGUCGGAUUGUUUGGGAAUGCAGUCCAAAAUGGGUGGUAAAUUUCAUCUAAAGCUAAAUAUUGGCGAGAGACCGAUAGCGAACAAGUACCGUGAGGGAAAGAUGAAAAGAGCUUUGAAAAGAGGGUUAAACAGUACGUGAAAUUGUCAAAAGGGAAGCGUUUGACACCAGUGUUGUUUUUCUGAAAAUCAAUUAAAGAACUGUUUAUGCUAAGCUGUUUAGACUUUAUCAGCUAUCUGUUUAGUUUUGAGCUUUUCUUUAAUGCACUUUUCAGUUAACAAGUCAACAUCAAUUUCUUUUGCUGUAAAAAAGCUUGAGGAAGGUGGCUUGAGAUUCGUCUUAAGUGUUUAUAGCCUCUUGCCUAUGCAGUCGGAGAGAUUGAGGUCUGCAGCGUAGAUCCUUCGGGGCUAAAUGCAUUUGUGCUAAGUUAUAGCAUUUCAUAGACAACUUGUUGACUAUGAUUUGUCUUGUAGCUUACUCGCUUAUGUUAUUUUACCUACGCUUAGGAUGUUGACAGCAGUAUAGACUGU
rnacentral:rRNA from 1 species